GAGUUUGAUUCUGGCUCAGAACGAACGCCGGCGGCGCGUUUUAAGCGUGCAAGUCGAACGGUAGACACGGUGCUUGCACUGUGUUGAGAGUGGCGAACGGGUGAGUAACACGUAGGUGAUUUACCUGUGAGUUGGGGAUAGCCUGUGGAAACACAGGGUAAACCCGAAUACGUCCGCUUCCAUGCGUGGAGGUGGAGAAAGGCGCUUUGGCGCUGCUCGCAGAUGAGCCUGCGGUCCAUUAGCUUGUUGGCGGGGUAAAGGCCCACCAAGGCGACGAUGGAUAGCCGGCCUGAGAGGGUGACCGGCCACACUGGGACUGAGACACGGCCCAGACUCCUACGGGAGGCAGCAGCUAAGAAUCUUCCGCAAUGGACGAAAGUCUGACGGAGCGACGCCGCGUGAACGAAGAAGGCCGAAAGGUUGUAAAGUUCUCUUUGCAGGUGAAGAAUAAGGGCAGGAGGGAAUGCCUGCUUGAUGACGCUAGCCUGUGAAUAAGCCCCGGCUAAUUACGUGCCAGCAGCCGCGGUAACACGUAAGGGGCGAGCGUUGUUCGGAAUUAUUGGGCGUAAAGGGCGUGUAGGCGGUCCGGAUAAGCCUGGUGUGUAAGGCUACGGCUUAACCGUAGUUUUGCGCUGGGAACUGCCGGGCUAGAGUCCAGAAGGGGGAGCGUAGAAUUCCUGGCUGCUACGGGUGAAAUCUGUAGAUAUCAGGAAGAAUACCGGUGGCGAAGGCGACCUCCUGGUCUUGGACUGACGCUGAGGCGCGAAAGCGUGGGGAGCGAACAGGAUUAGAUACCCUGGUAGUCCACGCUGUAAACGAUGUGCACUAGGUGUUGGGGCGUUGAAGCCUCGGUGCCGAAGCUAACGCGAUAAGUGCACCGCCUGGGUGAGUAUGCUCGCAAGGGUGAAACUCAAAGGAAUUGACGGGGGCCUGCACAAGCGGUGGAGCAUGUGGUUUAAUUUGAUGAUACGCGAGGAACCUUACCAGGGUUUGACAUACACCGGGAGCCGUGGGAGACCGCGGUGCCUCUUUUGAGGCCGGUGUACAGGUGCUGCAUGGCUGUCGUCAGCUCGUGCUGUGAAGUGUUGGGUUAAGUCCCGCAACGAGCGCAACCCCUACUGUCUGUUGCCAACAGGUUAGGCUGGGCACUCAGACGGAACUGCCGGUGACAAACCGGAGGAAGGGUGGGGACGACGUCAAGUCAUCAUGGCCCUUAUGUCCUGGGCUACACACGUGCUACAAUGGCCGGUACAGAGUGAGGCGAAACCGCGAGGUGGAGCAAAUCACAGAAAACCGGUCUCAGUUCGGAUCGGAGUCUGAAACCCGACUUCGUGAAGCUGGAAUCGCUAGUAAUCGCGCAUCAGCAUGGCGCGGUGAAUACGUUCCCAGGCCUUGUACACACCGCCCGUCACACCACCCGAGUUGGGGGCACCCGAAGUCGGUAGCCUAACCGUGCAAGCGGGGGGCGCCGCCCAAGGUAUGCCUGGUAAGGAGGGUGAAGUCGUAAC
rnacentral:rRNA from 1 species